rnacentral:misc_RNA from 1 species
GCGAGCAAUGAUGAGUGAUGGGCGAACUGAGCUCGAAAGAGCAAUGAUGAGUGAUGGGCGAACUGAGCUCGC